UACGUAGGUGGCAAGCGUUGUCCGGAUUUAUUGGGUUUAAAGGGCGUGUAGGCGGCCAACUAAGUCCGACGUGAAAUCCCCAGGCUUAACCUGGGAACUGCGUCGGAUACUGGAUGGCUUGAAUCCGGGAGAGGGAUGCAGAAUUCCAGGUGUAGCGGUGAAAUGCGUAGAUAUCUGGAGGAAUACCGGUGGCGAAGGCGGCAUCCUGGACCGGCAUUGACGCUGAAGCGCGAAAGCUAGGGGAGCAAACGGG
rnacentral:rRNA from 1 species